CGGAGUCUGCAACCCGACUCCGUGAAGCUGGAUUCGCUAGUAAUCGCGCAUCAGCCAUGGCGCGGUGAAUACGUUCCCGGGCCUUGUACACACCGCCCGUCAAGCCAUGGGAGCCGGGAGUGCCUGAAGUGCGUGACCGUAAAAGGAGCGCCCUAGGGCAAGACCGGUGACUGGGGUUAAGUCGUAACAAGGUAAC
rnacentral:rRNA from 1 species